rnacentral:rRNA from 1 species
UACGAGGGGGGCGAGCGUUGUUCGGAAUUAUUGAGCGUAAAGGGCGCGUAGGCGGUCUGAUAAGUCUGAUGUGAAAUCUCUGGGCUCAACCCAGAGUCUGCAUUAGAAACUGUCGGGCUUGAGUAUGGGAGAGGUGCGUGGAAUUUCCGGUGUAGCGGUGAAAUGCGUAGAUAUCGGAAGGAACACCUGUGGCGAAAGCGGCGCACUGGACCAAAACUGACGCUGAGGCGCGAAAGCUAGGGGAGCAAACAGG